rnacentral:rRNA from 1 species
AUUGAACGCUGGCGGCAGGCCUAACACAUGCAAGUCGAACGAGUGGCGGACGGGUGAGUAAUGUCUGGGAAACUGCCUGAUGUAGGGGGAUAACUACUGGAAACGGUAGCUACUACCGCCUACCAUCCGAUGGGCCCAGAUGGGAUUUGCUUGUUGGUGGGGUAACGGCUCACCAAUGCGACCAUCCCUAGCUGGUCUGAGAGGAUGACCUGCCACACUGGAACUGCGACACGGGCCAGACUCCGACGGCAGGAAGCAGUGGGGAAUAGUGCACAAUGGGCGCAAGCCUGAUGCAGCCAUGCCGCGUGUAUGAAGAAGGCCUUCGGGUUGUAAAGUACUUUCAGCGGGGAGGCGUUACCCGCAGAAGAAGCACCGGCUAACUCCGUGCCAGCCGCCGCGGUAAUUC